AAACCAGCACCUCAAGUGGUCAGGAUGAUUAUUGGGCCUAAAGCAUCCGUAGCCGGCUCUGUAAGUUUUCGGUUAAAUCUGUACGCUCAACGUACAGGCUGCUGGAAAUACUGCAGAGCUAGGGAGUGGGAGAGGUAGACGGUACUCGGGAGGAAGGGGUAAAAUCCUUUGAUCUCUCGAUGACCACCUGUGGCGAAGGCGGUCUACCAGAACACGAUCGACGGUGAGGGAUGAAAGCUGGGGGAGCAAACCGGAUUAGAAACCCGAGUAGUCC
rnacentral:rRNA from 1 species